GCAGCAGCAGAGCGCGUGGCAGUGCAUUGUUAUUAUUAUUAUUAUUAUUAUUAUUAUUAUUAUUAUUAUUAUUAUUACACACUGCGGUGAGGGAAGAACAGUCAGUGGAUUUGGGAGAUGAAGAUUUAUGGAGUAUUUCUUCAGUUUUAACUCUCUGGACAUUUUCUUGGUUAAUUCGGCGACAUGAACUCCAGUGGAUUAUCAGACCAAGAGUACACUGAUGAUCCGCCUGGGGGUUAGGCGUGUUCUGAACUGAACGAUCACAGCUCUCUCUUCCGUGUAUGUCUCCUGUCUCAGUUUAAG
ensembl:lncRNA